CCUUGACAUCCAGAGACUUAGCAGAGAUGCUUUGGUGCCUUCGGGAACUCUGAGACAGGUGCUGCAUGGCUGUCGUCAGCUCGUGUUGUGAAAUGUUGGGUUAAGUCCGCAACGAGCGCAACCCUUAUCCUUUGUUGCCAGCGGUUCGGCCGGGAACUCAAAGGAGACUGCCGGUGAUAAACCGGAGGAAGGUGGGGAUGACGUCAAGUCAUCAUGGCCCUUACGGCCAGGGCUACACACGUGCUACAAUGGCGCAUACAAAGAGAAGCGACCUCGCGAGAGCAAGCGGACCUCAUAAAGUGCGUCGUAGUCCGGAUUGGAGUCUGCAACUCGACUCCAUGAAGUCGGAAUCGCUAGUAAUCGUAGAUCAGAAUGCUACGGUGAAUACGUUCCCGGGCCUUGUACACACCGCCCGUCACACCAUGGGAGUGGGUUGCAAAAGAAGUAGGUAGCUUAACCUUCGGGAGGGCGCUUACCACUUUGUGAUUCAUGACUGGGGUGAAGUCGUAACAAGGUAAGCGUACGUGU
rnacentral:rRNA from 1 species